rnacentral:tRNA from 1 species
GGCUCGGUAGGUUAGUUGGUAAAGCACUUGUCUAGCGAAUAAGGGUCGUGAGUUCAAAUCUCAUCUGAGCUG